rnacentral:rRNA from 1 species
AAUCUUGCGCAAUGGGGGAAACCCUGACGCAGCCACGCCGCGUGGAGGAUGACACCCCUAUGGGGCGUAAACUCCUUUUCUGCGGGAAGAACGCCGGCCUCGGGCCGGGAUGACGGUACCGCAGGAAUAAGCACCGGCUAACUCCGUGCCAGCAGCCGCGGUAAUACGGAGGGUGCAAGCGUUGUCCGGAAUUAUUGGGUGUAAAGGGUGUGUAGGCGGGAUCGUAAGUCAGGGGUGAAAGGUCACAGCUUAACUGUGACAUUGCCUUUGAUACUGCGGUCCUUGAGUGUCGGAGGGGCCACUAGAAUUCGUGGUGUAGCGGUGAAAUGCGUAGAUAUCACGAGGAAUACCAGAGGCGUAGCCGGGUGGCUGGACGACAACUGACGCUGAGGCACGAAAGCGUGGGGAGCGAACAGG